rnacentral:rRNA from 1 species
UACGUAGGGUGCAAGCGUUGCCCGGAAUUAUUGGGCGUAAAGAGCUCGUAGGCGGUCUGUCGCGUCGGAUGUGAAAACCCGGGGCUUAACCCCGGGCCUGCAUUCGAUACGGGCAGACUCGAGUGUGGUAGGGGAGACUGGAACUCCUGGUGUAGCGGUGAAAUGCGCAGAUAUCAGGAAGAACACCGGUGGCGAAGGCGGGUCUCUGGGCCACUACUGACGCUGAGGAGCGAAAGCGUGGGGAGCGAACAGG